rnacentral:piRNA from 1 species
UACAGCCACAGUGUACCGGAAACCGACG